GUACAGACUGCAUCCCUAUUCCGCACAGACCACCACGGCCUCGCUCCACGGCCCGCCGCGAGGCGAUGAAAAGGGGCAGGGACCUCUCACUCGCGGCCGGUUGUCCGGCCCGUGGCAGUUCAGCCCGGAGUGGCCUCCAGGAAGAAGGGCAAGGACCUCGCCAAUAUGGACUUGUAUCGUCUCGACGACGCUUAGACUCCUUGAAGUAGUCUAGGAAAUGUAAGGUUUUUUGUUCGACUCCGUUAUACACGUGGGCCAGGACGUAUAGAACCCAAGACUCUUACAACAGUCGAGUAGUUGAGUUAUUCACCGCACCCAGACCUUAUUCACGGGGUUGAAAAGAAUUGGACCACAUUCACUGACUCCAAAAGACAAAGAGAGAUUCCGAUAUUGUAGACACGUAAUAGCUACGUCAUUAUAACUCUUUGGCUGGUUACAGCACGGUUGGCCAACAUUAUAACCGUUUGACGCGGUUGAUACACAUUGUUACCUUUAGUACUGGGAAAGUAUGACGAAAUAAUGUUCAAUGCAAUGUGACACAGUGAUAAGUUGGAUAUCAUGGAGAUAAGAAGUCAAGUAAUAUGUAUGACGAAGGUCAUAGAUGGAUAGUACAAAAAGAUACGGAUACCGAGAUAAAAAAUGGGUUGAACGACAGGAAAAGUAGUGAUAGGAAUAUCAUACAACAAAUAACUUAACUUUCUUCAAUGUGCAAUUAUCCUGACCUACACGUAAUAAGACGACAUCAAUACCGUCCUACGUCAGAUAGUCUGUCAGAUGAAUACAAUGGUAAGUAGUCUGGUAGUCACGUAAAAGAGUAAGAAAAAAGGGAAGUCAGAACCCAAACCGAAAGUAAGAGAAACAAGUCAGAAAUAGAAAAAGAGCGAGAGAAAUAACUUCAUAAUACGUAAAUGAAGUAGGAAGAGAGUGGUUUUACAUACGGUCUAGAAAAGAGGUAGUCGUCUACUGUUAGGAGUCAAAGGUGAUAAAACGUCUACUGUUAGAAGUCAACAGUUACGUAAAAACCCCCCGAAAACCUAAGGUUAAAACAGCCAAAAAACGACGGAAGGCUAAACCACGCUUAUUUGUCUCGUCUUCCCCUCUCUCUCUCUCUCUCGUCACCGAAAACUCACCUAGUGAAGUCAAAAGUCCGCAAUCGAAUAGGGUUUGUCUGUCUUAAAUUUCGAUUCAAACCCUAAACCUUGGUCUCGUCCGGAUGUUAUUAGUUUUAGUUUUAAACUGACUCUGGGUUUAGUUUAAGUCAGAUUACUAGCAAUCUGUGCGGGUUGAUGUUACUAGAUAGUGGCCACUGUUUGAUCGUUAGUCGGUUAUUCAAACCUUCAACCUUGACUACUCACUCUGGGUUCAAGUCUUAGUUUUAAACUGGCUCUGGGUUUUAGUUGUAGUUCGAAACUGACUCUAGUUUUAGUUUAGGUCAGUUGACUACUGACUGACUGUGAGGGUUGAUGUCAUUAGACAGCGUCUAAGUGACCAAUGUCUGACGUCAACUUUGCCGACGUCAAAUGAAGAACGACAACUCUGCCGUAUAGUGGACGUCGACGUCCACCAGCAGCGGCCUCUGCACCUCCACGUCCGCCUCCAGCCUGUCGUCGAGGACGGACCGGGUCCAGUCGCCGGGGAACCGCACCUUGCGGAACUACUGCGAGUGCAUCCGGAGGUCGAGGUCUGGUACCUACGCCACGAGUACGAGGAGUGAAACGACUACGAGUGGACGUAUAACGUGAAACGCCGUAAUUAGGGAAAAGAACUUCGAUUUCCGGUAAAAACGAGUACAAACACCAUCGUAGUUAUGUAAUCGGCUCUUUUUACAUCCAUCUGAUUUCUUGUUUUACUAAUAUACCAUACGAAACAGACUAACAAAAGGAAAGACUGGAAAGUUAACCAACUGUUUUAUGGCCACAAGAAAGCAGUUAUGGACUUAUUCAGUAUGACAGAUCCUGUAUGGUCUCAACGACUCUUAGACUCCUUGAGGUAGUCUAGAAACAUCAAAAUCUCUGUGUUCAACUCUGUUAUACACGAUCGGUCAGGACACGUACAACCCAAGACUCCUACAAUAGUCGAGUCGUUGAGUCAUUCACCGCAGCCAGACCUCCGGGAUUGAAAAGAAUUGGACCACAUUGAACAUUCACUUACUCUAAAAGACGAAAAAAAGGACAUUCCGAC
rnacentral:rRNA from 1 species